GAUGAACGCUAGCGGCAGGCCUAAUACAUGCAAGUCGGACGGGAUUCAGGAGCUUGCUUCUGAUGAGAGUGGCGCACGGGUGCGUAACACGUAUGUAACCUACCUUUAUCAGGGGGAUAGCCUCUCGAAAGAGAGAUUAAGCCCGCAUAAAAUCACAGCACAGCAUUGUGUAAUGAUCAAAUAUUUAUAGGAUAAAGAUGGGCAUGCGGAACAUUAGCUAGAUGGCGGGGUAACGGCCCACCAUGGCGACGAUGUUUAGGGGAUCUGAGAGGAUGGCCCCCCACACUGGUACUGAGACACGGACCAGACUCCUACGGGAGGCAGCAGUAAGGAAUAUUGGUCAAUGGGCGGAAGCCUGAACCAGCCAUGCCGCGUGCAGGAAGACGGUCCUACGGGUUGUAAACUGCUUUUAUACGGGAAUAAACCCAGAUACGUGUAUCUGGCUGAAUGUACUGUAAGAAUAAGGAUCGGCUAACUCCGUG
rnacentral:rRNA from 1 species